rnacentral:lncRNA from 1 species
GUUAAUUCAGGACAGAAAAAUUGUUUCUUAACUGCCGUCUGUCACCAUUUAGGUAAGAAGAUGCCCUGGGUUAAAUAGAAUCCCCUUGAAAUUCAUGUUCAUCCAACCUCAGAAUGUGCCCUUAUUUAGAAAUAGGUUCUUUGCAGGUUAAGAUGAGGUCAUAAUGGAUUAGAAUGAGCCCUAAAUCCAACAUAACUGGCGUUCUUAUAAGAAGGAAAGACAGAGAGACAGGGAGAGGCACACACAGGAAGAAUGUCAGAUUAGGUACCUUGAUCACGGUACCACUGCUACAGAAACCACCAGUAUUCCUCUAAAGAGUCUGUAUCUCUCCAGCAACUGUUAAAAUAACUUGUUGGGCCACUUUAAAACUAAUUAACAAAGCCUCAUCCAGGAAUAUUAAGGCAGUUAAGACACAAUGUGCCAGCGGCUGUCAGAUGAGUGUCCUUUUAAUUCCUUCUCCGAGUAUUUCUUUCCUGUCCCUCCUAUAGGAAGGAUCACACUAUUUCUUUCAGGGCGCACUUUAUUCAAAUAGUGUAAAUGAGUGGAUAGAUGCCAAAGAGGAAUCUCAGAUUUAUGACAAAA